UACGUAGGGGGCAAGCGUUGUCCGGAUUUAUUGGGCGUAAAGAGCGUGUAGGCGGUUUGGUAGGUCCGCUGUGAAAACUCGAGGCUCAACCUCGAGACGCCGGUGGAAACCAUCAGGCUAGAGUCCGGAAGAGGAGAGUGGAAUUCCUGGUGUAGCGGUGAAAUGCGCAGAUAUCAGGAGGAACACCGGUGGCGAAGGCGGUUCUCUGGGAAUAUCCUGACGCUGAGGAGCGAAAGUGUGGGGAGCGAACAGG
rnacentral:rRNA from 1 species